AGGGAUCAUUACCGAGUUUACAACUCCCAAACCCCUGUGAACAUACCACUUGUUGCCUCGGCGGAUCACCCGCUCCCGGUAAAACGGGACGGCCCGCCAGAGGACCCCCAAACUC
rnacentral:rRNA from 1 species